GACGAACGCUGGCGGCGCGCUUAACACAUGCAAGUCGAGCGAAGCGGCGGACGGGUGAGUACCACGUGAGUAACCUGCCUUAGACCUUGGGAUAGCCUCGGGAAACCGGGAUUAAUACCAAAUGGUCUAAGCUGGACUCGCGUCCCAUUAGCUAGUUGGUGGGUAACGGCCCACCAAGGCGACGAUGGGUAGCCGGACUGAGAGGGUGACAGGCAACAUUGGAACUGAGAAACGGUCCAAACUCUACGGGAGGCAGAAGUGGGGAAUAGUGCAAAAUGGAGGGAACUCGUAUGCAGCGACGCCGCGUGAACGAAGAAGGCGUUCGAGUCGUAAAGUUCUUUUAUAUGGGAAGCGGUACCAUAAGAAAAAGCCCCGGCUAACUACGUGCCAGCAGCCGCGGUAAUUC
rnacentral:rRNA from 1 species